rnacentral:rRNA from 1 species
ACCCGCUGAACUUAAGCAUAUCAAUAAGCGGAGGAAAAGAAACCAACAGGGAUUGCCCUAGUAACGGCGAGUGAAGCGGCAACAGCUCAAAUUUGAAAUCUGGCUUUCGGGCCCGAGUUGUAAUUUGUAGAGGAUACUUUUGAUGCGGUGCCUUCCGAGUUCCCUGGAACGGGACGCCAUAGAGGGUGAGAGCCCCGUCUGGUUGGAUGCCAAAUCUCUGUAAAGUUCCUUCGACGAGUCGAGUAGUUUGGGAAUGCUGCUCUAAAUGGGAGGUAUAUGUCUUCUAAAGCUAAAUAUUGCCCAGAGACCGAUAGCGCACAAGUAGAGUGAUCGAAAGAUGAAAAGCACUUGAAAAAGAGAGUUAAAAAGUACGUGAAAUGUGAAAANGGGAAGCGUUUAUGACCAGACUUGGACUUGGUUAAUCAUCUGGGGUUCUCCCCAGUGCACUUUUCCAGUUCAGGCCAGCAUCAGUUUUCGCCGGGGGAUAAAGGCUUCGGGAAUGUAGCUCUCUUCGGGGAGUGUUAUAGCCCGUUGUGUAAUACCCUGGCGGAGACUGAGGUUCGCGCUUCUGCAAGGAUGCUGGCGUAAUGGUCAU